UACGUAGGGGGCAAGCGUUGUCCGGAAUCAUUGGGCGUAAAGAGCGUGUAGGCGGCCCGGUAAGUCCGCUGUGAAAGUCCAGGGCUCAACCCUGGAAUGCCGGUGGAAACUGUCGGGCUAGAGUCCGGAAGAGGCGAGUGGAAUUCCUGGUGUAGCGGUGAAAUGCGCAGAUAUCAGGAGGAACACCAAUGGCGAAGGCAGCUCGCUGGGACGGUACUGACGCUGAGGCACGAAGCGUGGGGAGCAAACAGG
rnacentral:rRNA from 1 species